CUCAAACAGAGUAUGUAGAAUAACAUUUAAUAUUGAUUGUAUUUUGUGUCAGAAGAAGCAUACUCUACAACGUGAAGAUACAUUAAAUUGUGUUAAACACCAUUAACUCAUAAUUGAUUACGGGUGUAUUAAUUAUCUGACGCGCACUUUGCAUGCGUUUUUGACCGAACUAAUUUUUUUUUUUCAUUAUGAUAGUCGAUGUUACUUUACACAGGCAAAAUAUAUUCAGGUGAAUUUGACCUGAAAAAAAUAAAAUUGACCUGAGAAUGAAGUCACUUUCACAAUAAGAUUUUUUUCAGGUCAAUUUGAGGUGACUUUCAUAUCAAAUUCAGGUGAAUAUUUUGCUCUCUUUUUUCAGGUCAAUUUGACCCAAACUUUUCACAAGUCAUUGACCUGAAUUGACAUGAAAAAAUGUUGCGUGUGUAGAAUACUUUUACUAGUGAGUUUCCAAUAUGUUCCUUUGGAAUGAAGAUCAUCACCAGGUUUUUCUUUUUAGCACUAGCAAAUCCUUUGAAUUUUAUUAAAAUAGCAAAACAUGCAUCAUAUUUACAACUGAUGAGUUUUUAAUACAUUUAUAUAUACAUACAUAUUAAUAUGUAUACGAAAAGUGUCAGCAACAUCCACAGCACAUACAUCCACACACACACACACUGUUCCAUAGCGUUUUCAAAACACUUGCAUUUUCCUCAAGACAUUCGUUUGAACAUAAGAUUAAUUAACCGACAGUUGUAGUUGUUCAAAACACUAAGACGACUUAUAGAGAAAUGCAUAAGAAUAUAUACAUAUAUUUAUAUGUAGUGUACAGGAUAUUUUACAUCAUGCUUCUAUAGAUACAUUUUAAAUACGAUAUCGUACCUACAUUAGCUGUUAUACAGGAUACAUAUCCCACACAGGAACUAACCAAUCAAAUGGAUUUAUUUAAGUUGAUCCGGAUGAUGGAGUAUUGCGGAACAGUAUAUUAAUUUGCUGAUUUGUACAUGUACAUGUUAUCACUAUAUAUAGAUGAUGUGAUAUAUCUAUGAAUCUUUGUACUCAGUGUAAUGCUAUUUCUGUUUAAUCUAAUUGUAAUAAAACAAAACCUCUUAACGCCUUCCUUGUGAUAAGCGUUUAGAAAACAAAGCGA